CCUGAAGAUCAUACAGCUUUUUCAUCUCACUUCCAUAGACCUUUACCAACAUGUAACAUUUCAGUUUUGUGAGAGAUUAUCCCACCAGCUGCCCUUCAUAUAUACUGCAUUCAUCACUUACUUCUAAUCUCAAAUCACAGCAGGAUACAGAGACAAAAACCUUUACAUCAUCAUCAAUCACCAAAAACACUAAAGCUCAUGUGUUAACACAUAAGUGUUAGUGUAACAGCAAUAAAUUAAUGCAUAUCCCUUUUCAAAGGAAUCUAUGCUUUGCAUUCCAUUGUCUCCCAACUAAUUUAAGCACAUGAAAGAAUAUGUUUGUCUUCAAAAUAGGAUUAAUUCAUAUCAAUCCUUUUUUUAUCACAUCCUAUGUGAAUAUGCAUUUAAAUAAAUGAUUAUUUGAAUUUAUACUUAAAUUCAUAUAUUUUUUAAAAAUAUACAGUUUUUAAAAAUAUACAGUUAAAGACAUAUUUAUAAAAUAUAUGCCCCCGAAUAGGAAAUAUAAAAGUACUAGCUUCUGCUAGAAGGCUGGAUUAGAAAACAGAUAUUUGCUGAAGAAUUAAAAGGCCAGAACUCACAUAGGCAAGUGACAGGAAAAUACAGGCAUUUCUAGUUCAGCUGACCUUUAGAUCAAUACCCCUCUCCUCUUGCCCCAAGCAUCUGUCAGACAAGCACUGUCACAAAAUACCACUGCUAACCUUAAGCAUUCUUCCACUAAGCACUACACUUCAGGUUGCACCUACCAUCCCGUAAACUAUUAAAAACACUCUGGUUUUUCCUUGAGGGCAAUUAUUGUAGCUCUAACUUUCUUUUCUCUUCAGAAUUUUAAAAAGCCAGAUGGUGGGGAUAACAAUCAUUCUGAUGUAGCUUUACUCAGAUAAGAAUAAAUGUCGAUCUUCAUGGUUUUUACACCAACUGGACAUGCGGGGAAGUGAAGGAAACUUGUAUAAGCUUCAGGAAAAAACUGAAUACUGGCUGCCUAGCUAUCUGCUACCAUAUAUUAAGGGAAAGGCUCCGGCAAUGUGAAUUUCAUACUAAGAUGGAAGAAAAGGUGAGCUUUAUACUCUUGUUAUAUUGUUUAUAUAUGUGUGUGUGUGUAUGUAUG
rnacentral:lncRNA from 1 species